rnacentral:tRNA from 1 species
AAGGCUUUAAGUUAACUAAACUAAUAGCCUUCAAAGCUAUAAAUAAAGAAAUUCUUUAAGCCUUA